rnacentral:rRNA from 1 species
AUUGAACGCUGGCGGCAUGCCUUACACAUGCAAGUCGAACGGUAACGGGCCUUCGGGUGCCGACGAGUGGCGAACGGGUGAGUAAUGUAUCGGAACGUACCUUUCAGUGGGGAUAACGUAGCGAAAGUUACGCUAAUACCGCAUAUUCUGUGAGCAGGAAAGCAGGGGAUCGCAAGACCUUGCGCUGAUUGAGCGGCCGAUAUCAGAUUAGCUAGUUGGUGAGGUAAAGGCUCACCAAGGCGACGAUCUGUAGCGGGUCUGAGAGGAUGAUCCGCCACACUGGAACUGAGACACGGUCCAGACUCCUACGGGAGGCAGCAGUGGGGAAUUUUUGGACAAUGGGGGCAACCCUGAUCCAGCCAUGCCGCGUGAGUGAAGAAGGCCUUCGGGUUGUAAAGCUCUUUCGGCCGGGAAGAAAUCGUAUGGGUUAAUACCCUGUGCGGAUGACGGUACCGGCAUAAGAAGCACCGGCUAACUACGUG